UGGAUCCUCAACUGUUGUGUCUCAGAGAGGUUUCGUAACAAAUAGGCUAUAUUUUGUAUCCUAUUUUUGGGCUUUUCCUUUGAAAACACACGUUUUGAUUGGUGUGACGCAACACCAACUGAUUGGGUAUUUCAAAAUACCUGCCAUGGCCAUUACAUGUGAAAUUGUUUUGAAAACUUCCAAUGCUGUAAAUGGCAACGAGAGAGUUCGAACCAAAAUCAGAAGAAAACGAACCUACACACCAAGGAUUACUUAUCUGUUUCAAUUGCUGUUUGUAAGUGAGUUUGGUCUGUGGGAAGGAGUGUCCACGUCAUCCAUUACCAUUAAAGUCAUGACCUCGUACCCCUGAGACGUUUCGGAAUUCGGGACAUCCACUCCACGAAUGUGUGUGUGGAAAGAGCUUGAGAAGUGUGUUGUGGGAACUGUCCUCCACUAUAA